UGAAUUAUAAAAUACAUUUUUGCCAAAUAUUUAUUUCAUUUAGGGAAGGAUAAAAUUGGUAAUUUAAAGGACUGGGGUGAGUUCUCUGAAUUUUUGGUUUUUGGGUAUGGCUAUCAUACAAGCAGACAUGUCAUAAAGGGUCAUACUUAAUAUGGUUGAUUUUUGGGGAUUUUUCUAUCAUCUCAAUGGUUUAGUCUGAUUUUGUUUUUUUCGAGAUCCCUUUUUUUCAAAAAGUUUCUGGUGAUUACUCUCUGUUUUAUCUUCUAUACACAUAUUCGUAGGUACUUUUCCUUUUGAUUGUUGCAAGAAUAGAUCUAAUAAAAGGAGUGUAAUAGGCAUCGCAUUACCACAUAUUUGUAGAAGAAGAUGAAUAUGGAAGAUGGGGUUUGAGUUGGAAAAAUAGGACGACUGAAAAUCACUGCCAAAUGCAUAGAAAAAGAAGACGAUGACCAUUGCUUUUUGUCUCAAUCAUAGUGCUCUAAAAAUCAACCAAGAAGAAUCUCCGCAACUUCUUCAAUUAAAGCUACCAAAAAGGGCUUAUAGGAAAGGUGAAAAAGAUUAUAAAGAAUCCAUUGUUGGUGAACUCUAUCGGCUAGAAUCAAUGGAUUCAAAUGUCACAUUCGCUUUAUGUUGUAGAACUCGUUCUUCUCCCGUCCACUGAGAAAUCUCAAAAACCCAUUUCCAUUCUUCUUCUUCCGUAGCCAUUUUCUCUAUCUAAAAAAAUAAAAAAAUAAAAAAAAAAGUUCUAUGAGGAAAAAAGGAUACAGCUUUCGAUUUAUAGGUGAGAAUAUACAGAGUCGAUGGAGUGGUAGCAGAAUUAUAGAGAUCAAAAUUGGAAUACUUGCAAGCUUCGAUUGUGGUGGCAGAUACUAUUAAACUGUGGUCCACAUGCUAUGCAUAUGGCCAAUACUUACUAACUUUUUCAAUGUUUUUGCUUUUUGUGUCUCUGUGACAUUGUUUUGUAUUUUCUCAACAACUUGAUUAGGCUUUUUUUUUUUUUUUUUUGUUUUUUUUUUGUUUUGUUUUUGGGUAAUAGACAACUUGAUAAGAUUGAAGUAAUCAUGCACUUAUGAUUUAUAAAAAUUUCUUACUAAAUUAGUUAACAAAAAACUUAUAAUAUAAAACAAUGUUAUAUAUAAAUAUAAGUUGGUAUUGAAAAAGUUAUUAAACAAGUUAGUAUCUGCCUUU